UUUUUUUUUUUUUUUUUUUUUUUGGUUGACUGCUUAUACAAGGGGCAUUAUUAUUUCAUUUAAAAUGAUCAUGUCUCUUCCCAGCUGCGUUCAUUUACCCAGAUCCUGCAUACCUAUUUGUGGGCUUCCCCAGUUCCAGAUAAUUCAGAGGUUUAACUGAGCUAACAAUGUGGUGUCGUUUUGCUGGGGAGAUGAUGGACCCAAAGUGCAUUUCUAAUAUUGGAGAAUGCAGAGGAAAAAAACUCUUAUUGUGCAGUAAAAUUUUUUGGGUUUGCACCACUGAAUAUGUUAUUAAUGUUAUUAAUAUAUAGGCUUUGCAAUCAGCUAUCCUUAGGCGAAGUUUUUCUACAGUUUUUGUGAGAUACUGGAAGUUGUU
rnacentral:misc_RNA from 1 species